rnacentral:rRNA from 1 species
AACGAACGCUGGCGGCAUGCCUAACACAUGCAAGUCGAACGAGACCUUCGGGUCUAGUGGCGCACGGGUGCGUAACGCGUGGGAACCUGCCCUUAGGGUCGGAAUAACUCCCCGAAAGGGGUGCUAAUACCGGAUAAUGUCUUCGGACCAAAGAUUUAUCGCCUUUGGAUGGGCCCGCGUGGGAUUAGCUAGUUGGGAGGGUAAAAGCCUACUAAGGCGACGAUCCAUAGCUGGUCUGAGAGGAUGAUCAGCCACACCGGGACUGAGACACGGCCGAGAAUCCUACGGGAGGGAGCAGUGGGGAAUAGUGGACCAUGGGCGAAAGCCUGAUCCAGCUCUGCCGCGUGAGUGAUGAAGGCCGUAGGGUUGUAAAGCGCUUUUACCCGGGAUGAUAAUGACAGUACCGGGAGAAUAAGCUACGGCUAACUACGUG